rnacentral:rRNA from 1 species
UGGGGAAUAUUGGGCAAUGGGCGCAAGCCUGACCCAGCGACGCCGCGUGGGCGAUGAAGGCCUUCGGGUUGUAAAGCCCUGUCAUGUGGAAAGAACAGUCCCGUGGUGAAUAUCCACGGGAUUUGACGGUACCACAGGAGGAAGCACCGGCUAACUCCGUGCCAGCAGCCGCGGUAAUACGGAGGGUGCAAGCGUUGUUCGGAAUUAUUGGGCGUAAAGGGCGCGUAGGCGGUUGUGAAAGUCAGAUGUGAAAUACUUCGGCUCAACUGAAGAACUGCAUCUGAAACUUCAUAACUCGAGUACAGGAGAGGGAAACGGAAUUCCCGGUGUGGAGGUGAAAUUCGUAGAUAUCGGGAGGAACACCAGUGGCGAAGGCGGUUUCCUGGCCUGAUACUGACGCUGAGGCGCGAAAGCGUGGGGAGCAAACAG